rnacentral:rRNA from 1 species
CGCUGGCGGCACGCCUUAUACAUGCAAGUCGAACGGAGUAGCAAUACUCAGUGGCAGACGGGUGAGUAACAUGUGGGAAUCUUCCCUUUGGUGAGGAAUAACACGAGGAAACUUGUGCUAAUACCUCAUAAGUCUUUACGGAGAAAGCUUUAUGCGCCAAUGGAUGAGCCCGCAUUUGAUUAGUUUGUUGGUAGGGUAAUGGCCUACCAAGACUGUGAUCAAUAGCUGAUCUGAGAGGAUGAUCAGCCACAUUGGGACUGAGACACGGCCCAAACUCCUACGGGAGGCAGCAGUAGGGAAUAUUGCACAAUGGAGGAAACUCUGAUGCAGCGAUGCCGCGUGAGUGAAGAAGGCCUUUGGGUUGUAAAGCUCUUUCGUCGGGGAAGAAAAUGACUGUACCCGAAUAAGAAGGUCCGGCUAACUUCGUGCCAGCAGCCGCGGUAAUACGAAGGGACCUAGCGUAGUUCGGAAUUACUGGGCUUAAAGAGUUCGUAGGUGGUUAAAAUAGUUGGUGGUGAAAUCCCAGAGCUUAACUCUGGAACUGCCAUCAAAACUUUUUAGCUAGAGUUUGAUAGAGGAAAGCAGAAUUUCUAGUGUAGAGGUGAAAUUCGUAGAUAUUAGAAAGAAUACCAAUUGCGAAGGCAGCUUUCUGGAUCAUUACUGACACUGAGGAACGAAAGCAUGGGUAGCGAAGAGGAUUAGAUACCCUCGUAGUCCAUGCCGUAAACGAUGUGUGUUAGACGUUGGAAAUUUAUUUUCAGUGUCGCAGCGAAAGCAUUAAACACACCGCCUGGGGAGUACGACCGC